CGAGAUCUUCGGAUCUAGUGGCGCACGGGUGAGUAACGCGUGGAAACCUACCAUUCUGUACGGAAUAACGGUUGGAAACGGCCGCUAAUACCGUAUACGCCCUGUGGGGGAAAGGUCCGCCGCAGAAUGAGGGGUCCGCGUCCGAUUAGCUUGUUGGUGAGGUAAUGGCUCACCAAGGCUGCGAUCGGUAGCUGGUCUGAGAGGAUGAUCAGCCACACUGGGACUGAGACACGGCCCAGACUCCUACGGGAGGCAGCAGUGGGGAAUAUUGGACAAUGGGGGCAACCCUGAUCCAGCAAUGCCGCGUGUGUGAUGAAGGCCUUAGGGUUGUAAAGCACUUUCAACGGUGAAGAUGAUGACGGUAGCCGUAAAAGAAGCCCCGGCUAACUUCGUGCCAGCAGCCGCGGUAAUACGAAGGGGGCGAGCGUUGUUCGGAAUUACUGGGCGUAAAGGGCGCGCAGGCGGCCUAUCCAGUCAGGUGUGAAAGCCCCGAGCUCAACUUGGGAACUGCACUUGAUACUGAUAGGCUAGAAAACGGAAGAGGGCAGUGGAAUUCCCAGUGUAGAGGUGAAAUUCGUAGAUAUUGGGAAGAACACCAGUGGCGAAAGCGGCUGCCUGGUCCGAUUUUGACGCUGAGGCGCGAAAGCGUGGGUAGCAAACAGGAUUAGAUACCCUGGUAGUCCACGCCGUAAACGAUGUAUGCUAGUUGUUGGGGGGAUGCCCCUCAGUGACGCCGCUAACGCA
rnacentral:rRNA from 1 species